AGAGUUUGAUCCUGGCUCAGAUUGAACGCUGGCGGCAUGCCUAACACAUGCAAGUCGAACGGUAACAGGUCUUCGGAUGCUGACGAGUGGCGGACGGGUGAGUAAUGCGUAGGAAUCUGUCUUUUAGUGGGGGACAACCCAGGGAAACUUGGGCUAAUACCGCAUGAGCCCUGAGGGGGAAAGCGGGGGAUCUUCGGACCUCGCGCUAAGAGAGGAGCCUACGUCCGAUUAGCUAGUUGGCGGGGUAAAGGCCCACCAAGGCGACGAUCGGUAGCUGGUCUGAGAGGACGACCAGCCACACUGGGACUGAGACACGGCCCAGACU
rnacentral:rRNA from 1 species